rnacentral:rRNA from 1 species
UACGGAGGGUGCAAGCGUUAUCCGGAUUCACUGGGUUUAAAGGGUGCGUAGGCGGGCAGGUAAGUCAGUGGUGAAAUCUCCGAGCUUAACUUGGAAACUGCCAUUGAUACUAUCUGUCUUGAAUAUCGUGGAGGUAAAUGGAAUAUGUCAUGUAGCGGUGAAAUGCUUAGAUAUGACAUAGAACACCAAUUGCGAAGGCAGUUUGCUACGCGAUUAUUGACGCUGAGGCACGAAAGCGUGGGGAUCAAACAGG